UGUAGAAGAGUGUAGGUUCUUGUUCAGGGUUCGAAGAAAGAGUGACAGAAGUGAUCAUCAGUUUGCCUCAGUCUGAAGCAUAAACGGAUCAAAGAUGACAAACAGAGCCUGGUUGACUGCAGUGAUGAAUGAAAUCAAAAGAAGCUCUAUUGUGUUAAAUGGGGUUUUCAGCUUCAUCCUUGUUUGCUUGGAGAAGUUAACAGAACUGGAGUUUUCGUGUCCCUGUGACCCAAAUUGGAAUGCUGUGUUCGCUUCAGCAUUUUUUAUUCUACCUGCAGUUAUGGUUUUCGUGCUGCUGUUAAGCAUUCGAGGAUGCAAGAAGUGUUCGGCAGAGUUGAGGAGAGAUAUAUUCAUCAGCCUUGUUUCCCCUGUUGUAUGGCUCAUCCUGCUGUUCUUUGAUGGACAAUACUUUGCCUGUGCUAGCACAUGGUGGUCAGGAAGGUUUGUCAUAAUUGACAAAGCUGGUCCUCGGAAAUGGUGUAUGCCAUACAAUCACAGCUUAUCUCAGGAUGAUCUCGUGAGAAAGACUCAAGGAUGGUUUUCUUUGUCUCAGGCCAUUGGACUGGGGCUUGCUUUUGUGCUGGCCCUUGUUGUAGGAAUCUACCGCUGUUGCUGCAAAGAGACAGCGCAAGUUGAAGAAAGUAAUAUAACUGGUCAAUUCAGGGACAAUCAGGAUCAAGAUAACAUUGCACUUUCCAAUAGAUUUGGCUAUUCUUCGUUUUGAAAUGAGAAUAGAUGAGCCCAUUAAGUAGAUGAGGAAGGUAGCUUUGGAAUGAUCUUGGGAAUUUCAUCAUGUCAUCUCUUGUAGAUUUGGGAGAAAUCUAUUAUUGAUAAUGUAUAUCAUGGAGAGCUGCAGCUCUAUCACUUAAGGGGUAUGAUUUUGCUUUCAAUCAUCCUGCAUAUUUGUUUGACCAAGCAAUGCUUUUCUGCACUGUUCUGAUUUUUCUGUAUAAAUUCACUGAAACAGUGUAAAGGCUGAUAGACUGCUGUUUUAAUGUUUCCUCAUUUUGUAAAGGCAUAGUUUGAGGUAUGAAUGCUCUUCACCUAAAACUUUUUCAACUCAAAAAAAAAUCGAAGAAGCCAAAGGGGUCCAUUUAAUUGUAUUUACUCAAGCCUUACUCAUGUCCACAGACAAUCACAUUAACACAUUUUAUGAGCCAUACAGUGAUUUUUUGUUGUGUCAAUUCUGAUAUUGUCACUCAUAAAUUUUUUUGUCUCCUUUAUUUCACUUGGGUGUUUUUCACAUCAUUUUUAUUUUUUACUUUUUUCCCAACUGUUAAAUCUCCACUUUUUAGGGGUUGGGAAAUUGUAUCGUCUCAUUCUUACUGGUGGCGCUCAUGGUUUACAUGGCAUGCACAAGAAACAGCAGGCAAAAUGAAAAGUGUGAAGAGCCCGGUCAAACUGAAGAGGAGGUAUGUGGUGUUGAAUCUGUUCCCCUUCAAUGUCCCCCAGAAAAUCCAUAGGAAACACAAACAACAAGAUGUUUGUUUUUCACAUGUAAAUAUUGUGUAUAAAAUGAUAUGUGCUGGCAGGUCCGGUAGUGAAAUUGAUAGCUGUGCUUUUUACGCUACACGCUGUUUGUUCGGUAGCAAAUGCUAAGACCUGAAUAAUCUGGUUUAGGACAUAUUUUGGUAAAACUGACAAACCUCAAAACCAAAGUCUUGUUCAUUUUAGCUUCCUGUACGAGAGAUGCACAUGCUCUAACCGCUAGCUAAACUGUUGCCAUAAAGCUGAUGUCUGGUGGGAAUGUUGGGCAGGGGUUGGUAGAUUGUGUCUCUCCUGUUUCUUAAAAAUGUAAGAUAGAUUUUACUCUUUGAAAACCUGCUUCUCUAACUGUGAAAAUGUUUCAUGAUCAAGAAAGAUGUAACUUUGGAAGUGAAUUCUGUCUUAAAAUGUGAACAAAUUUUUUUUGUUUUGUACUUAGUUUU